rnacentral:rRNA from 1 species
UGGCUCAGGAUGAACGCUAGCUACAGGCUUAACACAUGCAAGUCGAGGGGAAACGAUAGAGAAAGCUUGCUUUUUCUAGGCGUCGACCGGCGCACGGGUGAGUAACGCGUAUCCAACCUGCCCAUCACUUGGGGAUAACCUUGCGAAAGUAAGACUAAUACCCAAUGACGUCUCUAGAAGACAUCUGAAGGAGAUUAAAGAUUUAUCGGUGAUGGAUGGGGAUGCGUCUGAUUAGCUUGUUGGCGGGGUAACGGCCCACCAAGGCGACGAUCAGUAGGGGUUCUGAGAGGAAGGUCCCCCACAUUGGAACUGAGACACGGUCCAAACUCCUACGGGAGGCAGCAGUGAGGAAUAUUGGUCAAUGGACGAGAGUCUGAACCAGCCAAGUAGCGUGCAGGAUGACGGCCCUAUGGGUUGUAAACUGCUUUUAUAAGGGAAUAAAGUGAGUCUCGUGAGACUUUUUGCAUGUACCUUAUGAAUAAGGACCGGCUAAUUCCGUGCCAGCAGCCGCGGUAAUACGGAAGGUCCGGGCGUUAUCCGGAUUUAUUGGGUUUAAAGGGAGCGUAGGCCGGAGAUUAAGCGUGUUGUGAAAUGUAGACGCUCAACGUCUGCACUGCAGCGCGAACUGGCUUCCUUGAGUACGCACAAAGUGGGCGGAAUUCGUGGUGUAGCGGUGAAAUGCUUAGAUAUCACGAAGAACUCCGAUUGCGAAGGCAGCUCACUGGAGCGCAACUGACGCUGAAGCUCGAAAGUGCGGGUAUCGAACAGGAUUAGAUACCCUGGUAGUCCGCACGGUAAACGAUGGAUGCCCGCUGUUGGUCUGAAUAGGUCAGCGGCCAAGCGAAAGCAUUAAGCAUCCCACCUGGGGAGUACGCCGGCAACGGUGAAACUCAAAUGAAUUGACG